CUCGAGCCCAGUCAAACCGUACCACUGGCUAGACUGAAACUAUUCACUGCUGUCACUGUCAGCUGUUGGGGAAGAUAUCUGGACACAGACUACAUUGUGUACCUUCCUCAACUCCCACAAGUGAACCGACAUGACCUGUUGAGGCAGUUCCUAUGAGCCUCCUUCCUGCUUGAUGGUUAUACCUGCCACUAGGUGUCGCUGUCAACCAACAGGAUGAGAGUCCAAGGUUGAAGUCUGCUACUGAAGGAUGAGAACAGUGUAGUGAAUGCAUUCGAGCUUCUAUGGCCGAGACCCUGAUCGAGUCACGCAGGCCAGGACUUUAGCCCAACUGUGACAUCGCGGGGUGCUUUGAUUCAGUUGCAGG